rnacentral:rRNA from 1 species
UACGUAGGGGGCAAGCGUUAUCCGGAUUUACUGGGUGUAAAGGGGAGCGUAGACGGCUUUGCAAGUCUGAAGUGAAAGGCAUGGGCUCAACCUGUGGACUGCUUUGGAAACUGUGAAGCUAGAAUGUCGGAGAGGCAAGGGGAAUUCCUAGUGUAGCGGUGAAAUGCGUAGAUAUUAGGAGGAACACCAGUGGCGAAGGCGCCUUGCUGGACGAUGAUUGACGUUGAGGCUCGAAAGUGUGGGUAUCAAACAGG